GCUACGGCCAUACCACCCUGAAUGCGCCCGAUCUCGUCUGAACUCGGAAGCUAAGCAGGGUUGGGCCU
rnacentral:rRNA from 1 species